rnacentral:rRNA from 1 species
UACGUAGGGUGCAAGCGUUGUCCGGAAUUAUUGGGCGGAAAGAGCUCGUAGGCGGUUUGUCGCGUCUGCUGUGAAAACUGGAGGCUCAACCUCCAGCCUGCAGUGGGUACGGGCAGACUAGAGUGCGGUAGGGGAGAUUGGAAUUCCUGGUGUAGCGGUGGAAUGCGCAGAUAUCAGGAGGAACACCGAUGGCGAAGGCAGAUCUCUGGGCCGUAACUGACGCUGAGGAGCGAAAGCAUGGGGAGCGAACAGG